UACGUAGGGUGCGAGCGUUGUCCGGAAUUAUUGGGCGUAAAGAGCUUGUAGGCGGUCUGUCGCGUCUGCCGUGAAAUUUCGGGGCUCAACCCCGAACUUGCGGUGGGUACGGGCAGACUAGAGUGUGGUAGGGGAGACUGGAAUUCCUGGUGUAGCGGUGAAAUGCGCAGAUAUCGGGAAGAACACCCGUGGCGAAGGCGGCUCUCUGGGACGGUACUGACGCUGAGACGCGAAAGCGUGGGGAGCGAACAGG
rnacentral:rRNA from 1 species